UUCCAGACUCCUACGGGAGGCAGCAGUGGGGGAUAUUGCACAAUGGGGGAAACCCUGAUGCAGCGACGCCGCGUGGGUGAAGGAGCGUUUCGGCGCGUAAAGCCCUAUCGGCAGGGAAGAAGGAGGACGGGACCUGACUAAGAAGCCCCGGCUAACUACGUGCCAGCAGCCGCGGUAAUACGUAGGGGGAAAGCGUUAUCCGGAUUUACUGGGUGUAAAGGGAGCGUAGACGGCAGUGCAAGUCUGGAGUGAAAGGCGGGGGCUCAACCCCCGGACUGCUCUGGAAACUGUACGGCUGGAGUGCAGGAGAGGUAAGUGGAAUUCCUAGUGUAGCGGUGAAAUGCGUAGAUAUUAGGAGGAACACCAGUGGCGAAGGCGGCUUACUGGACUGUAACUGACGUUGAGGCUCGAAAGCGUGGGGAGCAAACAGGAUUAGAUACCCCAGUAAC
rnacentral:rRNA from 1 species